AGCUGCGCGCCUGCUUCAGGUGCCCCCGGUGCAAGUCGGGGGUGAAACAGGGAAGCCGGUGAAGUCCGACCUCGCGGUCCGACCAGUCCGGCGCUGCCCCCGCAACGGUAAGCGAGCAUCGAACCGCAUUCCGCCACUGUGCCAUCGGCAUGGGAAGGCGCGGUUUCAGGAGCCUGUCACGGCCCACUCGCAAGCCCGGAGACCGGCCUGCUGCAUGUCAUGGCA
rnacentral:ncRNA from 2 species